UAGGUUAAGGUGUGGUAUAGUCUGAAAGAAAAUGGUGGAGUAAAAUAUAUAUAUAUAUAUAUAUAUGCCUUUGAGACGUUUCGGGAAGACUCAGUAGCCUACAAGCAAUAUAAAGGGUCCUGGGGCUGAAGACAUCAAAGGUGGUAUUUUGCAAGAUGUUUAACUGCUUUUACAUGACUAAGACAGCAAGAGGACCCCAGGACUGAAGCUCUCUUAAGGAAAAGUACCAAAGGCAAAGUUUUCUACUGUAAUCAGCACAGUAUGAUAGUUUGUGUUGGCUAAAAGACAAAUCGAACAGAUGAUGAUUCCAUGUAAAUAAAUCCAUGUACAAGAGGAGAUUUUUAGUGGUAUGUUGUACCCUAAAACAGAAGCAUUUUAUGGAUAACCUGAAUUAACCAAUGUGCAAGCUGCCCGGGAUAUUUCAUUGAGCAGUGAAGCCCAUGAUGAAUGCUUAGAAACACAGAGAAGCAAGGGUUUUACUUUAUGGAAAUUGGUAUUUUGCCCAGGCAGG